GUAGUGCUGAAGAGUCCCAAACUAGGACGAAACAGAUGUCCAGUAC
rnacentral:hammerhead_ribozyme from 1 species